GGUUUCCGCCCUUCAGUGCUGCAGCUAACGCAUUAAGCAUUCCGCCUGGGGAGUACGGCCGCAAGGCUGAAACUCAAAGGAAUUGACGGGGGCCCGCACAAGCGGUGGAGCAUGUGGUUUAAUUCGAAGCUACGCGAAGAACCUUACCAGGUCUUGACAUACUAUGCAAAUCUAAGAGAUUAGACGUUCCCUUCGGGGACAUGGAUACAGGUGGUGCAUGGUUGUCGUCAGCUCGUGUCGUGAGAUGUUGGGUUAAGUCCCGCAACGAGCGCAACCCUUAUUAUCAGUUGCCAGCAUUAAGUUGGGCACUCUGGUGAGACUGCCGGUGACAAACCGGAGGAAGGUGGGGAUGACGUCAAAUCAUCAUGCCCCUUAUGACCUGGGCUACACACGUGCUACAAUGGAUGGUACAACGAGUUGCGAACUCGCGAGAGUAAGCUAAUCUCUUAAAGCCAUUCUCAGUUCGGAUUGUAGGCUGCAACUCGCCUACAUGAAGUCGGAAUCGCUAGUAAUCGCGGAUCAGCAUGCCGCGGUGAAUACGUUCCCGGGCCUUGUACACACCGCCCGUCACACCAUGAGAGUUUGUAACACCCAAAGUCGGUGGGGUAACCUUUUAGGAACCAGCCGCCUAAGGUGGGACAGAUGAUUAGGGUGAAGUCGUAACAGAGGUAACCGAC
rnacentral:rRNA from 1 species